GGUGCUGCCCAUGUGUGAUAUGCCGAUUCGAAGCUCUUGGCUGCGAUGAGAAACUGUGGUUUGGUUGAAUCUCCUGCUAAGAAGAAUCAUCAGCACGUCCUGCAGUUUGCUGCUACCGCCAUGUGUGAUCGGGUUCCCAAGAGUGCUGCAGAGACUAACAAGUGUGGAUGCAAGUUGCACAUGAUUCCAACAGGAAAUGAAGAGUUCAGUGAAAUGAUGAAUUGUAAAAUGGUGCAAGUCCCACUAGCGAAGAUAGCAUUCAUGGGCUUGAAAACAGACCAAAAUACCGUGCACUUCAAUUCU